UACGUAGGUGGCGAGCGUUGUCCGGAUUUACUGGGCGUAAAGGGCGUGCAGGCGGUCUGUUAAGUCUAGGGUGAAAGCUCCCGGCUCAACUGGGAGAGGUCCUUGGAUACUGGCGGACUUGAGGGAGGCAGAGGAGAAUGGAAUUCCCGGUGUAGUGGUGAUAUGCGUAGAUAUCGGGAGGAACACCAGUGGCGAAGGCGGUUCUCUGGGCCUUACCUGACGCUGAGACGCGAAAGCGUGGGGAGCGAACCGG
rnacentral:rRNA from 1 species